AUCCAGCUGACGUGUCUAAAAUGGGACAAAACGCGCCUCCUGGAU
rnacentral:hammerhead_ribozyme from 1 species